rnacentral:rRNA from 1 species
AGAUUGAACGCUAGCGGCAUGCCUAACACAUGCAAGUCGAACGGUAACAGGCCCUUCGGGGUGCUGACGAGUGGCGGACGGGUGAGUAAUGCGUAGGAAUCUACCCACGAGUGGGGGAUAACCAACCGAAAGGUUGGCUAAUACCGCAUAAGUCCUACGGGGGAAAGCGGGGGAUCGAAAGACCUCGCGCCGGUGGAUGAGCCGAAGCCGGAUUAGCUAGUUGGUAGGGUAAUGGCCUACCAAGGCGACGAUCCGUAGCUGGUCUGAGAGGACGACCAGCCACACUGGGACUGAGACACGGCCCAGACUCCUACGGGCGGCAGC